CAGGUGUCAGCAAGUCCCUCCUCUGCACCUGCAGAAGCAGCAACAGAAAAGACACAAGUGGAAGAGGAAGUGAAAACCACGAAGAAAACCAGGAAGCCCAGGAAGAAUACCUGGUGGAAUGUCCUGAACCGUUGGGACAUUUUUAAUAUAUUUUAGAGACCUCUGAAGAUUCUGCAAACACCAGGAAGGGCCCUGAUGUGGAGAUGUCAACCUGGCGCAGACCUGAUGUGGAUCGUGAUUGUUUCGGGAACUGUGCUACUCCAAAAACUUUUAUAAUCUUUGCUUAAUUUGUUUUUAA